ACCACUCCCACAAACGUCUACGACCGCGCCUACAUAGUUUUGCAUGUUUACAAUUCUAAUUUUAAACAGCCAAUUACCAAGAACCUGAUUGGCUGUUCAAAAUUAGAAUUGUAAACAUGCAAAACUAUGUAGGUGCGGUCGUAGACAUUUAUGGGAAUGGU